rnacentral:sRNA from 1 species
UUGAUAGUUCAGCCAAUCACAGUCAUUUAACCACAGAAUAGCUACGGCAUGGGCAGCAGCAGUACAGACUUUAUUCUUUGCCAACCCAACAUGCCUCAGUCCUAGCCUGGAGGGGUCAGUUGACAGCUCAGUCACUGUGACCU